rnacentral:lncRNA from 1 species
CCAGGACUACAGGCAUAUACCAUCACACCUGGCUAAUUUUUAAAUUUUUUGUAGAUAUGGGGUCUUGCCAUGUUACCCAGGUUGGUCUCGAACUCCUCGCCUCAAGUGAUCCUCCUGCCUUGGCCUCCCAAAAUGCUGAGAUUACAGACAUGAGCCACUGCACACAGCCAAAGCACUGCAUGGUCGAUGAGAAAGAAGAAUUUUAGCUACUGAAUGAAGAAGGAAUGACAGAAUUGGAACAUAACCAUUUCACAAGGAUUAAGGCAUUGAUGAUUAAUGGCUGCUAUAUCACAAAGAGAAAAUCAGACACAGGCUUCCUGGUGGAGGAACACACCACCACCCAUGAAACGGAAUCUAAUGAAGCUUCUAGAUCCAGCCACCGAGCUACAGAUGAAACACAGGGCAAAGGAACUGGCUAAACAACAUCACAGCGACAUGCUCAGCAAAAUCCGGGCUGGGGAGGAUGGCUGGACACACAGCUUCGUUUUUUUCAACAAAUAAAUUGCAAGGAGAUUAAAAAAAAGAAGUAGAGGGGAA